rnacentral:rRNA from 1 species
UACGUAGGUGGCAAGCGUUGUCCGGAUUUACUGGGCGUAAAGAGCGCGCAGGCGGUCGUUCAAGUCGCGUGUGAAAGCCCCCGGCUCAACUGGGGAGGGUCACGCGAUACUGUUCGACUCGAAGGCAGGAGAGGGUAGUGGAAUUCCCGGUGUAGUGGUGAAAUUCGUAGAUAUUCGGAGGAACACCAGUGGCGAAGGCGGCUCGCUGGCUCGAUACUGACGCUGAGGUGCGAAAGCGUGGGGAGCAAACAGG